GACGAACGCUGGCGGCGUGCUUAACACAUGCAAGUCGAACGGAAAGGCCCUGCUUUUGUGGGGUGCUCGAGUGGCGAACGGGUGAGUAACACGUGAGUAACCUGCCCUUGACUUUGGGAUAACUUCAGGAAACUGGGACUAAUACCGGAUAGGAGCUCCUGCUGCAUGGUGGGGGUAGGAAAGUUUCGGCGGUUGGGGAUGGACUCGCGGCUUAUCAGCUUGUUGGUGGGGUAGUGGCUUACCAAGGCUUUGACGGGUAGCCGGCCUGAGAGGGUGACCGGCCACAUUGGGACUGAGAUACGGCCCAGACUCCUACGGGAGGCAGCAGUGGGGAAUAUUGCACAAUGGGCGGAAGCCUGAUGCAGCAACGCCGCGUGCGGGAUGACGGCCUUCGGGUUGUAAACCGCUUUCGCCUGUGACGAAGCGUGAGUGACGGUAAUGGGUAAAGAAGCACCGGCUAACUACGUG
rnacentral:rRNA from 1 species